AAAAAAAAAAAAAAAGAACGCAACACAUGUAUCUACGCACACUCCUAGAGAAAGAGAAAGAUGAUGGAACACAUUAAAAAAUUUAAAUUUCCCACAAAGACCAAGGAUAUGAAAAAUUUUUAAACAACAUAUGAUAUAUAACAAUGCAAAAAGCAUCAAAACAACCAUUCAAGCUAGCUAGCAAUGCCCUUGAAGAAGUAUAGUCUUGACAUAAAGGAGCCACAAUAACCCGAUCAUGAUGAAUUUGGAUCAAUCAAGCUCAAGUUCAAGCACCUGUUAGAUCCGAGCUCCAAGGAUGAUUUGGCCAGCAAUCUAUUACGAAAAUGAUUUACUUUCUGAGAUCAACUAGAUAUCUAUUAAUAAAGAGAUCAGCAUCUUUUGAAAUUGAAACGGCCGAAGAUCAUGCCUAAAAUUAAACAUAAUAAUUGAAGUACGUUCCAUUAUAACCUACAUAACGAAAUGGCAAAGAUCCAACCGAGAUUAUAAGUAAUUACCAUCUCAAUCUUUAUAUAAACAAAUUUGAGACUGAGGACAACAUACAUUCUAAAAACUAAAUAGGGCAAAUAUAAUUUCAACAUUUCAAUAUAAUUUAUUACUGAUUGAAACAUUUGAGUGACUAUUAAACAACCACUAGACCUCAUCUUUCUUCUUGUUUUCACGUCACCUGAGAGUCAAUUAUUAGACACCAAUUGAGAACCCAGGAAGCCACUGGCAACAACACUUACAUAGCCAAAUAUUACUAUGAUGAUGCCCAAAAACACACAGCCUUGGGAUAUUUGAGACAAACAAGAAGUAUCAGUGCCUUUCCUUUUGCUUACGAGAAGUAUGCGUCUUUCCUUUGCUUACUCCAAACACGAACAUCUGCAAGGCUUUGCUCAUGAACAGUUAUAGGAGAGGGAUAAAGGAAGUCGAUAAUAACAAAGUAGCAAACAUCAGAGAAGCAAAUACUUGCAGCAGCAUCGUUCACAGCCUUACGAAAACAUCAAUUUGUUGUGCGAACCAAGAGGCGAGAAAGGAGUAACACAAAACCCAUACCGGGGACAAUGCGCAACUUUGAAAUAGCAUAGAGAUAUAUAGACAGUUCAUCAUCAUCACUAAUUGAGAAUAAUGCACACAGGAUACAUACAAAGAAGGGGGAAGCGACAGUAGUGAUCAGAAAAAUCACCGUUUCACAUGAAGUCAAAGGACAAAAAAACCCAAGCCAGCUUCUAUUUUCUUGCUACCUUCUCUCACUGACCAAACAUUAAAAACCACAACAACAAUAGCAAAGAGGUCAUCUCCAGAAAACCAAGCUACAGCAAAAACUUCUUAUGGUAGAAAUUGCCAUUUAGAAUUUAGGCAGAGAUAUAAUAUACAUUACUCGUCAGAUAGAGAGUGAGGGAGAUGAAGCAAGCCAAAAAUUAUAAACAAGCAUCUCUUUCCUGGCCUCCCGAAGUAUUCAAGAUAUGAUACCAACCAUAAAAAAUGCCACCAUACUACUUCCAACUCAUUCAGCAACUACAAUAUAGCAAGUUAUGUAAACUUGGAAGAGGACCCAAGAAUAAAAACAAAACUUCUAAAAAGGCAAAAGACGAGACUGAAGCAACUGAAGCAACCAAACUAUAACACGCCAUCAUUUCACACAUGCAGGAUUCUCAUUGAAGCUGCAGGUUCCUCACAAGUAAAUAAAUAGGCACUAUAUUCAUCCUUUUCUCCGUGGCAUGAACUUGCGGUGUCUUCAUGUCUAAGGGCAACUGUAAACACAAGAUCCAU
rnacentral:misc_RNA from 1 species